AACGAACGCUGGCGGCAUGCCUAACACAUGCAAGUCGAACGAGACCUUCGGGUCUAGUGGCGCACGGGUGCGUAACGCGUGGGAACCUGCCCUUAGGUUCGGAAUAACUCCCCGAAAGGGGUGCUAAUACCGGAUAACGUCUUCGGACCAAAGAUUUAUCGCCUUUGGAUGGGCCCGCGUUGGAUUAGCUAGUUGGUAGGGUAAAAGCCUACCAAGGCGACGAUCCAUAGCUGGUCUGAGAGGAUGAUCAGCCACACUGGGACUGAGACACGGCCCAGAAUCCUACGGGAGGCAGCAGUGGGGAAUAUUGGACAAUGGGCGAAAGCCUGAUCCAGCAAUGCCGCGUGAGUGAUGAAGGCCUUAGGGUUGUAAAGCUCUUUUACCCGGGAUGAUAAUGACAGUACCGGGAGAAUAAGCUCCGGCUAACUCCGUG
rnacentral:rRNA from 1 species